rnacentral:rRNA from 1 species
GCUUACAGCCAGACUCCCUCGUGCGCCAGCCUGAUCUCCUCUGAUCUCAGAGUCUAAGCAGGAUUGCACCUGCACUGCAUGGCAGUGAGUCUGUCUGGGGAAUACUGGGGGUGUAAACU